rnacentral:rRNA from 1 species
GAACGCUAGCGACAGGCCUAACACAUGCAAGUCGAGGGGCAGCGAGCCGUAGCAAUACGGUGUCGGCGACCGGCGAAUGGGUGAGUAACGCGUAUGCAACCUUUCCACAAAACGGGGACAGCCUUCCGAAAGGGAGAUUAAUACCCGAUGGCCUUGCCGGGCCGCAUGAUCUGGCAAGUAAAAAUUUAUUGAUUGUGGGUGGGCAUGCGUCCCAUUAGGCAGUUGGCGGGGUAACGGCCCACCAAACCGACGAUGGGUAGGGGUUCUGAGAGGAAAAUCCCCCACAUUGGAACUGAGACACGGUCCAAACUCCUACGGGAGGCAGCAGUGAGGAAUAUUGGUCAAUGGGCGGAAGCCUGAACCAGCCAAGUCGCGUGCGGGACGAAUGCCCUACGGGUCGUAAACCGCUUUUGUACGGGAAUAAAGUCAUCCACGCGUGGGUGUUUGUAGGUACCGUAAGAAUAAGGAUCGGCUAACUCCGUGCCAGCAGCCGCGGUAAUACGGAGGAUCCGAGCGUUAUCCGGAUUUAUUGGGUUUAAAGGGUGCGCAGGCGGGCUGCUAAGUCUCCGGUGAAAUGUCAGGGCUCAACCUUGGCACUGCCGGAGAUACUGGCGGCCUUGAGAGUGGCGGAGGUUUCCGGAAUGUGUGGUGUAGCGGUGAAAUGCAUAGAUAUCACACAGAACACCGAUUGCGAAGGCAGGAAACCAUACCAUAUCUGACGCUCAGGCACGAAAGCGUGGGGAUCGAACA